rnacentral:lncRNA from 1 species
CGCUGAACGCCGGCGUCCUGGCGUCCUGGUUCCCGCGCGUCCGCGCGCGUUCUUAGUGCGCACGCGCAGCGGUUCGGGGGUGUGGCAAAGCAGCUCGUUCUUCUGCGAGAGGGACCGCGAUUUCUAAUAGCGGGCGUUUUGUGCUGCUUCCUCACCGGCGUGGCGUCGGGGAGGCGGUGAAGCUGAUGCAGAGCGUGAGCGCGGUGCUGCGAGGUGACAGAGUUGCGGGCGAGCAGGAGCCAGUUGAGAAAGGGCGGAAUCCGGCGGGAAUUCAAACAAGCUAAACUGUAGCCACGCGACAGUGGGGGCUCGUCCGGGAUACUCCUUCCACCCUCCGGCCUCUUUCUGCUGCUGCUGCUGCUGUCUACGGGCGACCAUUUCAGCUCUCCAGGUAGGGACCCCUUCGCCGUCUUUUCUCCUCCUACUAUGGGCGC